rnacentral:rRNA from 1 species
GACAGAGGCCUCGAGCGUUAGGCGGAAUCACUGGGCUUAAAGCGUGUGUAGGCGGACCCCUAAGUGUCCUGUGAAAUCCCACGGCUCACCCGUGGAACCGCUGGGCAUACUGGGGGUCUUGGGCCAUUCAGGGGCGACUGGAACAAGCGGUGGAGCGGUGAAAUGCGUAGAUAUCGCUUGGAACGCCGACGGUGAAAACAGGUCGCUGGGAAUGUGCCGACGCUGAGACACGAAAGCCAGGGGAGCAAACGGG